rnacentral:rRNA from 1 species
AGAGUUUGAUCAUGGCUCAGGACGAACGCUGGCGGCGUGCUUAACACAUGCAAGUCGAACGGAAAGGCCCUUCGGGGUACUCGAGUGGCGAACGGGUGAGUAACACGUGGGUGAUCUGCCCUGCACUUUGGGAUAAGCCUGGGAAACUGGGUCUAAUACCGAAUAUGACCACGCUCUUCAUGGGGUGUGGUGGAAAGCUUUUGCGGUGUGGGAUGGGCCCGCGGCCUAUCAGCUUGUUGGUGGGGUAAUGGCCUACCAAGGCGACGACGGGUAGCCGGCCUGAGAGGGUGACCGGCCACACUGGGACUGAGAUACGGCCCAGACUCCUACGGGAGGCAGCAGUGGGGAAUCUUGCGCAAUGGGCGCAAGCCUGAUGCAGCGACGCCGCGUGAGGGAUGACGGCCUUCGGGUUGUAAACCUCUUUCACCAGGGACGAAGCGCAAGUGACGGUACCUGGAGAAGAAGCACCGGCCAACUACGUGCCAGCAGCCGCGGUAAUACGUAGGGUGCGAGCGUUGUCCGGAAUUACUGGGCGUAAAGAGCUCGUAGGUGGUUUGUCGCGUUGUUCGUGAGAACUCACAGCUUAACUGUGGGCGUGCGGGCGAUACGGGCAGACUAGAGUACUGCAGGGGAGACUGGAAUUCCUGGUGUAGCGGUGGAAUGCGCAGAUAUCAGGAGGAACACCGGUGGCGAAGGCGGGUCUCUGGGCAGUAACUGACGCUGAGGAGCGAAAGCGUGGGGAGCGAACAGGAUUAGAUACCCUGGUAGUCCAA